UGGCCUGUAAUUGCCAGGAUCACCUCUGAAGCCCUUUUUAAAAAUUGGCAUCACAUUAGCUAUCCUCCAGUCAUUUGGUACAGAAGCUGAUUUAAAUAAUAGGUUACAAACCACAGUUACUAGUUCUGCCGUAAUAAAGACCCUUGGACCAGGUAGCCUGAUGGUGGUCUGUGCAGGCUGCUUAAUUCCCAAAGAGGCCUGCCAGCCAGGGGCUCCACGAGCUGCAGGAGGAGCCCAUUCACAGUCAGAUAUUUACAAAUGAACAUUAUCACCAUUGUCGUCGGGAUAGCUUGUGCUGUAAAUUGUUAGUGACAACACAUUAUGUCUCCUCAGAUACUAACAAUUGUUUUGUACAUUAACCUGCUUACCGACAUAUUUUCCCAUGCAAUAACACAAUAAGAUUGGAUCAGAAACCCCAGUAAUUACCCAUAAUUUCAGUGGGAAAUAGGGAAAGUAACACGGUAUUUCUGAAUGAAUUUUUAUGGAAAAAUCAUGUAUUUUCAGCCUAACCUUUGUGGAAAAACUGGGAAUAAUAUGUAGCUUCACCAGCUCAGGCCACCUAGAAACCAGCAGACUGGAUGAAAAGCCAAAUGAAUCCAUCACAAGAUAAUUUAAGGGUAUUUAUUUUCAAAUAAUCAAAGUAAGGAGAGGGCGCUCUGCCAUAAAUUGCAUAUAAUGAAUAAUCUUCAAAAUUAAAUUAUUACUUUGAAAAUGUUCAUACGACAUCACAUUUAAAACAAAAAGUAGUCCUAGCAAUGCCAUGUGAUGUGCCUCCUCUCAUACUUUGCUCAACUCUCUCUUCAAGAAAUUAGGUGAAAUCACUAAUUUCAAGCAAUUAGACCAAUCAAUCACCAUUCUUAUAGAGCAUUCCAGAAGGUGGUGGACAGAACGCAGAGGAAUUGUGAUGAAUUUCCUGGAACAACUUUGUUUUUUUUGUACUCUAAAACUCACAUGACAACAGAAAUAACACCCUUUGGACUGAUGUAUGACUGAGAAGAAAGGUUUCCCAAUGAAGUUUCACGGAAUUGCAUGACUACAUUUGUUGUGUCUUUAUAACGAAGAACACAAAGAGCCCUGCAGUACAUUGGAGUCAACAGUGGACAUUGACAGCAUGUUCGUUGCAAAUAAUAUUUCUAAAAAAAAUCAAACAAAAAAGAAUAUGGUGGAAGAGAUUUCUCUAUAUAGGAAAAUAGCAUUUGGGGUUGGGGACCUUGUUUUGUUAAUUGAUGUGAGAAGAAGAAAGGGAGGGUCAUAACUUGAUUACUCACUGUAUGUAGCCAGAAUGUUAAAAACAACUCCAGUGAACAGGAACGUUGUUGUAGAACCUGGUGAGCAUUAACUGAAAUAUUUUGCUUAAUUCUGUGGCACCAUUUUUUUUUUUCACCUGUUACUUUUCCAAUGUGCAGUGCCAGUCCUGCGGGCGGUGGGUGCAGGUGCCCUGCCUUCCAGAGGGACCCAGCCCAGACAAUGAGGAGAGAGAGCAGCUGCACAUGUGUGUUGUGUAGUUGUGAUGUUUAUGACACAUGUUGUACAUUGUAACUGAGCAAACCAGUCUGACAGUUUAAUAAUUAUUUUGUUAGCAUAACUAUUUUGAAUUUCUUGAAAUGACGCAGUUGAAAUAUAAAUGAUGCUAGUUACAGAAAUUCAACUUGAAUGGAGAUUUCAGGGAAGAAUCACAAAAUAAAUGUAAAUAAUUCUACUUCUUAAAGUAUGUCUAGAUGCUUGUUUUUUGAAAUACUGUUAAAAUGUAAAUUAAAAUAUUCUGGUAUUUACACCUUAGAUCAUCACAUUUUCUAAAUUAGAACAAGAUCUCUUUUUAUUUUGUCCUCUCCAUAGUUUACAUUGAGAUUUCACAGGGGUAGAAAUUUUGACAGGAGUGAAUGACCCCCAUCCCCCACCAUCUGCUACCCCUGGGCAAGUGUCGUACCAAUAAAAUAAAAACCAGCAGGAUCUUAUUAAAAGGGACAAGGCAAAAUGCCACAUUUAUUGUAAAUAUAAUAAAAAGAAAUAUAAAA